GGGCUGCAGGGGAAUCCCAGCUCCAGUGCCUGGGGCGCAUCCUGCCUCUCCUUCUGCACUGACCUCCGUGUUCCUCUCACAUGGUCUCACUCCUCCCUUCUCUGGCUGCAAUAACCUCUGUGCAAUAAUGUUUGUUUCCUUCUUCAGUACCUUAUUGCAGAGGUGCUGCCUGCAUCACUGGCCCGGCUCAGCCUUGCCAGCAGUGGGUCUGUCCUGGAGCCUGCUGGUGCUGGCUCUGCCAGACACAGGGGAUGCUUCUGGCAGCUUCUCACAGAAGCCAGCCCUCUACUCCUGUACCUCCCACUGACAGCAUUUCAAAGGAAAAUAUAACCUGAAGGUGCCCUGUUCAUCCAUGAACCAGGUGGUCAUUGUUUGAAUACCUCUGAAUGACGCUUUGUCUCUGGAAGGGAAAAAACCCAAUUAAAGCAGUGCAGGCCACAGAAGGUGAUUUUUUCCCACUCCAUGCCCUUCUCCCGGCUGCAGAUGGCGCCCGAGCCCCUGGAAUUCGCCCUUCUCCCAGCGCCAAGGCGGGUCUGCACCAUCAGUGCCCGGGUACCAUCAGCGUCUGCAGCCCUGCACGGCACCGGGGGAUGGGGAAUGCACUGCCAGCGGGAAGGAAGUUUUGGCAUCAUUUUGGAGCUAGAUUGGGUCUAGAUUGUUAUUCGCUUCGAAUGUCUAUGAUCCAGGGAAGGUUGUGAUUGCUAUACCUGAUGUCCUCCUCAGCAGGAAGCCCUUUCCAGUGUAGGGAACUGCAUGCCUAACAAAUACAUUCAAUUAUAACGAAAAAAAUUACAUGGAGCGAUGGAAAUCCACACUAAGCUACGGAGGAGCAGUAACAGUUGUAGCUUUUUACACAAAAGCUAAUGGUAUUAUUGAAUUACAGUAUGCUUUUUUGAUGCUCUUUAUCUCUCUUUUGUUUUUUUCCUUCUUUUUUCUCUUUUUGUUUAUUUUUCUCUUUUCUCUUUUUUUUCUUCAGGAAAGGUGAUCAGUUCUCCUGUGCCAAGCAGAAGAGGCUUUCAGGAACACGCUGCUGACUUUUCAGCUCAAUCUAGCAGCAGCAGGACUUCAUUUUACCCUGUUUAUCAGAACACAAGGAAUUUGGCAGUGCUUUUACACUGCCUGCCUCCUCUAGUGACUAAAACAGGGUUAGGCAGCUCAGAUAUUUAGGGCCCUAAUGCAUGAUUUGCAGCAUUAAUAAUGCAGACCUGAUAGGAUUUGGCUCUCUGUGCAGUUAAUGGAGAAAUUAGAUGCAAUUCGUCAGGCACAGAACACUGUGCACUAUAAAUGCAUAUUUCACAAGCAUUUUUGCUUGUGGCAAGCUGCUUGUGGCAGUUUUCUGUUCUUUGAAUUAGCUCUCACCACCUCCCAGAGUUUGAUAACCCCCUCCCAUCUUACUAAUAAAGAUAACUGGUAAUAACCAGUAGGAAGAAGUAAAUGCUAACAGAGAAGCCCUAAGACAAUGAAAUUAGACAUCUCUGUAAAAACGGGUGAAGAGAGAUGAUCUGUUUUUCUAGGUCUAAAAACUAAUUUGCAAGCAGGGUCAAUGACAAAAGCACUGACAGGAAUGUCUAUCAGAUAUUCAUCCCAGGUAUUUACAAAGCCCCUGUAGUCAUGCUACACCUAUAUGGUCUUGGAAAAUAAGGAGACUGAGCAGACUGUAAGUGCUGUAAAGAAACAAAAAAUGAAGUGACUCCUAUGACAUCAGCCAUAAUGACAAAGAGGAUUCCAACUAUAAAAUAAUAGCACAUUGCAGGAUUAUUCUUGCAAAUCAAGAUAUAAAAAAUAGUUAGAAAGAAUUAUGUUUAACCA